AUCGACUCCCAUUGUACAGAUGAGGCGAUGAGGCUGCCCUGAUACAGCUUCAAAGGGCCACACAUGAGAAGCAUCUUUUAUAACAAAAAUCAGAGGGUCUGAGGUAAACUCAAAAGCCCCAGAGUCUAAGCAAGUUAUUCAAUGGGUUAUUCGGGAGAUAAAAGCCUGAUGAAAUGACAAAAAGCUAGAAGGUGUGUUUUCAGAUUAGUCACAAUGUUUCAGAUUCCUGCUUAUACAGUUAUCCAAAUAAUAGAAGCAAAACUUCCCCAAAUGUUGAGGUGAAUCUUCACUUGGGUGUCUCUCACCACAUUCACUUAAACUAUUCCUCAAAGUCCUCAUAUUGUUUCUUCUCCUUCCUGGAGUGAGUUAUUGUUGGUGUUUCCGCACAGCUGGACUGUUCUGUCAACAUGUUGUAUGGCGUUUUUAGUUUUAUCAAACAACAGGCUGGCCUUUUGUCAUGGGUAGGGCAAAACCAAGCCAACAGGGGUUAGUAAUAGUGCCCUUGAUUGGAGUCAGCUGCGGGGUCCGAGCAUUAGGGGAUUAUCUGGUGCCCCAGCUUCCUGUGGGCUCUGCCUCGCCUGAAGGGCUCUUCUGGUCUUGUUAAUAUGAUGAGGAAAUUCCUCAGGGUGCCAGGAAAUUCCUGCCCGGGCAUGGAGCUGACUUCCCGGUAUCCCAAGUCCCCUACAGCCAGUCAGCCAUGGAGCUGCCUCCAACUGACAAGCACAACGAAGCCCAACAAAAGCUGCUGGAACUCAAACAAACAGACUUGGGUGAGGCUGGGAGGGGAGUCAGGCCGGCGUCAUCCAGGCUCUGGGCCAGGUCGUUGUCGUGGCGAUGGCCAGUCCGUUUACCAGCGCGGAGCCGAGCCAGUUCUCUGAGGGGGAAACCCCAAGAGGGGGGCCUGUGCUUCUCCAAGUAGCAGAAACCCCGGAGAAGGCGUGGCAACUUGCAGAGAGCAUUGCCUUCUCUGAGGAGGUGGCAGACCCAGGGGGUUGCCCUGUGCUGAGUGGGCUCUCUUCAGUAUCCCACUUGCCGCCAGAUGGCUCAGAGGCCAGCAGGGGUGUGAGGAAAAUUCAGGACGCCAAGUACACCCAGACAAGGCACAGGUUGGAGGUGAGUAGCCUUCAUUAGAAUCAGCACAAUGACUGGUGGCCACCGGAGGCCCUGGGGAUAAAAGUCACCAGCAGUGCGGCUUCCCAGGCAGGUAGCUGAUGGUGAGCACACAGCAGAAGGAGAUGAAGAAUCUGAGCCGCUCAGAGAUGACAUCACUUGGCCAAGGUCACACAGCUUCUGCAGCCAGUGUUCUGUUUGGCCUUUGUGAAGCAGAGGGAACACACAUUGCACUUUUCUGAAGGAAAAACAAGCUGAUGUCAGGGAUUCCUUCAAGAAAGCAAAUUUCACGGCCAUUGUUGAGAUCACCACCCAAAUGUCCCAAACGCUGAAUGCACUUCUGUGUCUCAGCACAUGGCAUAACUGAUGUUCACCAUAAUGACCUUCAACUACCAAGGAAAGGUUAAUUUGUAUCUUGCAAGAUCUAUUUAAUAAGGGGGUUGGUGGUGGUGGUGAGCAACAAGUUUUAAAAAGAUCUCUGUCAAAACCAAAUUACCCAAGUUAAAAACUCCUUCUAGAAGACACUUAGCUUUAAACGUUACCCCCUCUGGAGGGGCUCCGCCCUUAUGUCGCCAGUACUGCUGCUGCAUCUGAGAAACAGGAACGAGCAGCGUCUCGCCAUUAUUUCUCUGACAAGCUCUCCCAGAAGAUGGUGGGGAUCAUGUGGUGAAGUUCUCUUUCUUGCACCAGUCUCAGUCUGAAAUUCCCCACACGCUUGCGGCCUUGUCCUGCUGGGCAGCCGGCAGUUUCCCCAGCACUUGCCCUGGCAUCUUGCCCCCUUUACACAAAGCAAUCACUGUUGCAGAAAAUGAGGGUCCUGUGACCAUUUGGCACCAUCCCCUGCCUGGCAUUUGCGUGGGAGAAGGAACUUUCUCUCUCCCUGACAAUGGAUUCUGAUCACAAACCAGCCCUUUUCAGAGAAACAGCUUCCCAUAGAAUGACUUUUGCCCACAGGUAAGAACUGAGUGGUGGAACAGAAGCGGUUUCCUGCGGGAAGCCUGUUAAUGUCACUGAGAAAUCAUUAGAAGGCCCCUGAAAGCCUCAUAUAGCUUUCCAAAUCCCACUCUUACUGCCAUCAACUCUGGUCCAGGCCUCCCUUCUUUUACGCCCUGGUCCUCUCCUUGAAUUUGUUUCAAAUGGUGGCAUAUCUAGUGCCUGGCCACUGUGACUGGCACCCUGUAGUUAGUGGUCUAGAAUUCCAGACUUACCUCUCUACCUGCAGAUGUAAUGAUCCUUUCUUAUUAAUAGCAUUUCCUUGGGUUACCUUACUAAGAAAUUAACAUUGACACAAUGCUAUAAACCAAACUAUAGGCUUUACUCAGAUUUCCUUCAUUUUUCUAUUAAUGUCCUUUUUUUGUUCUAGGAGACUGCAUUGCAUCAUGUCUCUGUGAUCUGUGAGUUUUUUUUUUUUGUUCCUUAUUUUUAAUGGCCUUGACCUUUUCAAGUGUUUUAUUGAAGAUCCCUCAAGUUGACUUUAUCUGAGGUUUUUCUCAUGGUUAGACCAGGGUUUUGGAUUUUCUGGAAAAAUGCCACACAGGUGAAGUGCCUUUGCUCUUCAACCCAUAUCAGGAGACUCUGCCUAUUGGAAGUGAAUCACUAAGUUAAGCCCACACUCAAAGGGAGGGAAAUGAAGUUAUUCUUCCUGAAACAGGGACAAUUUACAUAUAUAAUUUGGAAUUCUUCUGUAAGGAAGAUGUGUCUCUUCUCUGUAGUUUAUUCAUGUAUUCAGUUAUUUAUUUAUAUUAGUAUGGACUCAUGGAUGUUAUAUUAUUUGAGUUAUAAUCCAAUACUUUCUGAGAUUCUUGCUUAAAUUGUUUUAGUUUUGGUCAGUGGAAUUCUUUCAGGUUGGUUCCUGUGUCUUCUUAACAUGCUCCGAAUUAAAAAAAAAAUUUCCUUACCUUCUGGCAUUCUAGAAUGCUCCAGGCUCACCUGGUAUUUUCCCCUCUUCAUCCCUGGGAGCAGUUCUUUCUCUGGGGAGCCCUGGUUCCUUUUACUGGAGAGUGGUAUUGGGAAACCAGGCUCUGACUGCUCGGUGUGCUGGUUGCUGUUGGGUGUCAUAGCUUCUACACCCUAUUAGUGGACAGAGUUAGGGACUAUAUGUGUGUACACUAACCCAUGUGUUUGCAUAUACCUCUAUGCAUUUCUGUCUACUGUAUAUUAAAAUAAAAAUGAAUUCCUAUGGACAUCUCCAACUCUAAUCCAGCCCCACAGGAUUCAUGCUGCCUCCCCCCUUCCCUCGUUGACAGUUCUUUAUCUGACAGUGAGAAACCUGGGUUCCAUUGCCUGCAAUUUAUAUACAUACUUGUUUCAACCCCAGUUACAUGCAGCUUCAGAACUGCUAUUCUACAUCCCUAUGAAAAACAAAAUUUUAACUAGAAUACAGUGUGUUCAUAUCAUUCUUUUUGUCUUUAGCCUUACAGAUUCCAGUCAAAACAUCAUCUUCCAAAUUUACUUAGGUUAGCUCCUUUUUUCCCCUUCCUGACGGGCACAUCUUUAUAUUUUCCAAGCAUUUCUGCAUCUGGCUUCACCUUUGAUGGAGUCACUACCGUCAUGUGAGGGAAGAGGGAUCGUGCUGUGUGGAGGUUGCAUUGGUUGCCUCCUGUCCCAGGAUCAGUUGAAUCCAUGGUUAGAAUUUGGGACUUUGGGCUUUGCUGGACCACACUGCCUUUCCUGCUGCUGUUUGCUUGGUGGGUCUAGGCUGCAGGGACAGCUGUGACAUAUAUAUCUGGUUAAAGGAGAAAGUGAAGUCUGCUGAACAGUUGUCUCUCCCUGAGGCAGAAUCAUCAGAUGUCAGGGGGAAGGAAGCUGAGAGAUUUCAUGGUUUAACCUACUGCUCUUACAGGUGGGGAAACUGAGGCCUACAGAAGUGAUGUGACUUGUCCCAGAUGAACUGGCUGGUUAGAGCCAUCAGUGGGGACAGGAUCCACGGCUCUGCUCUCUCAUAUCUGUGCUCUCCUCACCACUCCGUGGGGAGCUACAGAGUCAGAGGUCAGAGCUCUGCAGGAAAAAGCCCUUUGCAAUUGCUUAAACAGGUGAGCCAAUUCACCACCAUUUCCUGAAUAGAGAGCUAGGUCUCAGAGCAUUCCUUCAUACCUUGUGCAUUCUGAAAUGGGGAGAGAGCUGAUGAAGAAAUGACUGAUAGGUCUGGAAAUUUGGUUCCUAUAUAUCACACAGUAGUGACUUCAUCCAAAAGUGGUGACUUGAGUUGUCUUGUGAAUUCCAGAGCUACCAUUUAAAAAAUUUUUUUAAUCAGUGUCAUGUCCUCUUUUGGCAUCUCCCAGUACCUAAACAAACGGACAAGUAUAGUAUCUGUUCUGCCCAGGUAACGGGGUCAUUUUAAGGCUCUCUACCUAAUUGAAGGAAGGAAUCAAAUCUUUUUUUUUCUUUUUCUUCACUGACUGCUGAUUUCCUGAUCCCCAGCAUAGUACAUGGAACACAGUAGGGAUUCAGUAUUAAUGGAAUGAAACACAAGAAGGAUCAAUGAGAUGCUUCCGGUCAGAGUACUGGUUACCUCUAAAGAACUAUACACAUGUAAGGGGUUGUUAAUGCAUUAACUGACGCUCUGGCCUUGGGCGAGUUGCUUAACCACUCUGGACUUCUCAGCGUUCCCAUUUGCAAUAUAAGAUGCCCCAGGCUCAUCUUGUAUUUUGAAUUAAACUCGAUGAUCUCUAAGGUCCCUUUCAGAUCCCUAAUUCUGUAAGUUCAGUGUUCAUAAAGAGUAUUGUGAGGAUUUCAGACAGAUUUAGGAUACAAGAAUAUCACAAACCAUCAUGGGCUAGAACAAGGAUUCUUUCCCUGCGUGAAUUCUAGUUGAUUGGCAGCAUGGAAUGCCGUGUUGUGAAGGACUCUGAGGGUCUGCGGAAUAGAGUUAUAAUGAUUGAUUAGUGAUAUCUGUCAUGGGCACAGGAUACAAAGCAGUAGCAAGAAUGCCAAACAUCUGCUCUCUCCAUAGAUGCUCAAAACAGUAGCUGGAAUUUCUGGGAGAAAUGUUGUUUUUCUUUGCAUGGUAAUGGAGAGACCACUUGAGUGAGGCCGGGGUUACCUGGAGGUCAACCCAGAGCUCUGUAGACUUGUAGUAAAACAUCUUUCUGACUUUCAUUGCCUCUUUUUAUUUAUCAGGCAAAUAAAGUUAACAUGAUUAAUUAACUGAU